UGUCUCCCCAUGUUCUAGGCCUUGUACUGUGAACAGCCGGAGCCGAGAGAAGCUGAACCUUCUCCCUCCUGCAUCGCUCCCCAACCCCCAACUCCGAUUUGCUGCAGUCCCUGGGGGUCAGUGUUGGGGUGAUAUAGGAUAGAUGCCACGUUGGCAAGGCUGCCGCUGCCGCCAGGAAGAAGAGAGAUGCUGGCCCCUGAGGGUCCUUAUCGCACUAAUUGGUGUGUGGGGGGGUGACAAAGAUUGCUCUGCAGUGGCCCAGCUGUCCCCACCCCUGCUGGAUAAAGAGGGUCCGGCAUUGGCUGUUGGUCUCUUCCUCCCCUCGGCCCCCACGCACCUCCAGGGAGGGAAGGCCCUGGUGUUAUCCGCCGGCCCCUUUGGCUUUUGGAGGUAGAAUGAGGGAGAAUACGGGGAGUAGCUGGAAAAUCUGGAGCUUGGGAGGGGAGCCGGUGCCAGGGGGAUUUGGGAGGAAGACAAGGAAGGUAAAUGGGAGAGGCAAGCGCACUGGGAGGUUCUUCUGACCACGUGCCCCCUUCAGGAGGCUUGAGAGACACCACUGAAGAAUUUGAAAUAGUUUAAAAUAACUUCUUCGUUGCUAGGCCGGGUGGCUUUCAUCAUGGGGAUGCUGACCGUUCGGAUGACGGUUUAGCAGGGCGACAGCUCAUCAGAACAAAAACAAUGCUCAACAGGGACUGAGUAUCAUCACGUACGAGUAAAAAUGAUCAAGUAUCUCCCGUUUCAUUUAAUAACACUCUGCUGCCUUUUCCCUCUUUUCUGUCGUGAGCUUUGACCUCCGCCGGCCUGCUCUCCUCCCCCAUCGUGCCGGCUAAUAGAAUUCCGAUACCGAGUCUUGAAGCCGCGAGCCCUUCCGACUGCUGGGGAAAGACAUCUCCGCGAGAUAAGAUAUGAGCCAGAUGCCUCUGGAGCCACCACUCAUUUAUUCUUUCAGCGGUAAAGAAGCCACAAGACGUGACCCUGUGCACGCAGGAGCGAACAGCUCAUAAUAUCUCACCAAUGCAUGCUGCUGGCCCCAAGAGGGUCCGCAGGAAAGGAGCACGGUGCCUGGGAGGAAUGCACCCUUGGCUCGGGAGAGAGAACUGCGUGUGCUGGGAGCGCGCGAGCCGCGGCCAGGGCACCUCUGUCCGAGGUGCUGAAACAGCGUCCCGGAGCUGCCUGGCGGCGCGAGGUCACCGUGCCCUGCCGCAGCUGCAUCGCACUGAAGUGACAGCUGCUGAAAAUCACACGCCAGGACCAGAAUCCGAUUCUCGCUUGGCAUUCCUGGAGGCUGUUUAGGAGAGGCUGCCACCGCCAUCCUAUUCUGCUCCAGGGAGAGCGGCCGGGCUGCGGGAUGACGAGACCCUUUGGCAGCUCCGAGGAGCGUGUCCAGCCGCAGGCGUUGUGAAUCACACCCGUAAUGCCACGAGCAAGGGCAGAGAUGCCACAGACCGAGAUUCACGGGCUGCACUCGCCGUGACACCUGUCAGUCCGGCCUCAGACCGAUGGCCUGCCACGGUGCCUCCGCCUGGAGACUCCCCUCCUCAGGAUCCUCAUUUGCAAAACAGGCAGACGCCUUUCUGCUUCUCCCACGGUGGAAAAGGACGUGCCCACUCUGGGAAUCUCGUGGCCCUCGAGAAGCAGUGACUGACAGGUGGUGAUUUAAAUUCCGGAGGGAUGGGCUGACCGCUGAAAAAUGUUUGUUAAAAUUUUUGAGGCACAACUUCCAUAAAGUACACAAAUCUUAAAUAUAGAGCUUAAAGUGCAUGCAUGUGUGUGUGUGUGUGUGUGUGUGUGUGUGUGUAGCCACCACCCGGAUAAAAAUACGUAACGUUUUCAGCACCAUCCCCAUGUGCCACCGCUCCCCAAGGGCCACCACUGUUCUGACAUCCGUCACCAUGGAUCGGUUUUUCUUGUUCUUAAAUUUCACAUACAUGAGAUCAUUGAGUAUGAACUCUUCUGAGUCCAACUUCUUUCCUUCGACAUUAUGUUCGAAGGAAACAUAAUGAGGUUCAUUCGUGUUGCUGCAUAGCAUUAGUUUCUUCUUUUUUUUUUAUUGCUUUAUAAUACUCGCUUGUGUGAAAGAUUGCUGUUUAUUGAUCCAUUUUACUGUUGAUGGACAUUUGGAUUGUUUCCAGACUGAGGCUAAUUUGAAUAAA